ACCUGUUUCGCCCCGCCCUUCGCGGCGCGGACUACGGAAGUGCUGUGGUUGGGAAAGCCCGCGUCCGCAGCUAGGUGGUCCCGGGCCGCGAGCCUUUCAACGCCGAUGACACCCCCACGCCCAGCCAGAGGGUUGCAGCCAGGCACCCCAGUUGCCUGACUUCGCGUCCCACUCGCUCUGUCUCCCGCGAGCCGUUCUCCCACUGGCUCAGUAUCCCCAGAGGACUUGGCGGACCCCGGGAUCCCUGGCGCCUCCGCAUCUCGUCCGCUUCCCCAACACCUCCCUCUCUUCCCCACAUCUUUCAUCUGCCCUGUGGAGGGAGAGAUGGGAAAGCGAUGGUAGCAGCCGAGGGAGCAGAGAAUCCGGGGCGGGGGGUGAUCCGGGAUGGAGAAGGGGUCCGUUGGGGAAAGUCCGACCGACCAAAAAAGGCCUGGCCUCCCCCUCAAGCCUGCGGGGCUGGAUUGGGAGAUGCGCGCAGCAGUGGAGGACAUAAACGACGUGACCCGCCGGGAGAAGACAAGGCCUCUCCAAAGAGGCUACAACUGGCAGGGCGGAAGGGGGCGAGGAGGAAGUCGAAGCCCUCUGGCCACUUGGGUUUUGAGGAAGCGAAAUCGGAAAUUCCCUAUGUGGGGCAACAAUGAAAUCUUGUGGGAACUUAGGGGGAAUUUAAAAACCCAAAUACUUCCGCUUUCACGUUAGGAACACCACCAGUAACCCCGACCUAUGCCCCAUCAUCUUACCGGUUCCUGGCUGUUCCAUUGGGUUCAUGCCCCCGCCAUCAUCCCUGGCCACAGCGGGACCCUCUUGGCUGUCCAGGCUGGAUAUGAAGGUGUUCUCAAGAGGAUGUUGAUGCUCCUGGGUUCAGGGGGAUGUCAUCAGAGACUGUGCCAGCUUGUGACCAGGAUCCUCCAGCAGGCCCAGUCCAGACUUCCUGUGUCAGCCUUGGAAACCAAAGGAUUUGCCUCCUACACAGCAGUGAUGAGGGGUCCACCCCGGAGACGUAAUUUCUGGGCUGAUCCAGGGGAAGGCCUGAGGCAGAGGACCCUAAAUGACAUGGUUGUUCAGUGGCAUGAAUAGCUAUGGGGAGCUCAGUCUCUAGCUCACUUACAUUGACCUGCCAUGGUUCUCCCAUCUCCCCAGGGCCCUGUGAACUGGGAAAACCCAGCCCCAGAAAAUUGAGAACAAAAUGUUCCUGGGUUAUUUAUAAAUGAAACCCAGACCCUGUUGUUCUAUGUGUCUACUCAACUUUCUCCAAGGAUUUCAAAGGACUGGAAGAAGGGAUCUCCCUCCUUCUGUCAUGAGGCUCAGUUACCCCAAGUUCCCUGAGUUGGUGCCCAGAUCCUGGGCAGCUUCCUUAUCUUGUGAUGUCUCAAAUUGUGAAAAUACCCUGAUAUUACUUCUUUUGUCUUUUUUGAAUAGGGCACUUUUGUUCAGUGGGAAAGUUUUAGGAAAUUUGAAUGAGCCAUUUUA